rnacentral:rRNA from 1 species
GACGAACGCUGGCGGCGUGCCUAAUACAUGCAAGUCGAACGAAGUGGCGAACGGGUGAGUAACGCGUAAUCAACCUGCCCUUCAGAGGGGGACAACAGUUGGAAACGACUGCUAAUACCGCAUACUGAAGGAGGGGAUUGCGUCUGAUAAGCUAGUUGGAGGGGUAACGGCCUACCAAGGCGAUGAUCAGUAGCCGGUCUGGUGGGAUGGACGGCAACAUGGGGACUGAGACACGGCCCAGACUCCGUCGGGAGGCAGCAGUGGGGAAUCUGCCGCAAUGGACGACAGUCUGACGAAGCAACGCCGCGUGAGUUAUGACGGCCUUCGGGUUGUAAAGCUCUGUUAAUCGGGACGCGGUACCGGAAUAGAAAGCCACGGCUAACUACGUGCCAGCAGCCGCGGUAAUAC